GCCCGGAUAGCUCAGUUGGUUAGAGCGCAGGUCUCAUACUGCGGUAUGACCGCGACCACGCGGGUAGGCUGAGGUGGUGAGUUUCGAGCCUCAUUCCGGGCA
rnacentral:tRNA from 1 species